rnacentral:rRNA from 1 species
CUGUAUGAAAGUAUGGGGUGCCCUUCCGGGAGCCGCAAGACAGUGCUGCAUGGCUGUCGUCAGCUCGUGUCGUGAGAGUGUUGGGUUAAGUCCCGCAACGAGCGCAACCCUUGUCUUCAGUUGCCAGCACGUAAAGGUGGGAACUCUGAAGAUACUGCCCCGGUUAACGGGGAGGAAGGUGGGGAUGACGUCAAGUCCUCAUGGCCCUUAUGCCCAGGGCUACACACGUGCUACAAUGGCAUAUACAAAGGGUCGCGAUACCGCGAGGUGGAGCCAAUCCCAUAAAGUAUGCCACAGUUCGGAUUGGAGUCUGCAACUCGACUCCAUGAAGUUGGAAUCGCUAGUAAUCGCAGAUCAGCAUGCUGCGGUGAAUACGUUCCCGGGCCUU